CCUACGGGAGGCAGCAGUGAGGAAUAUUGGUCAAUGGACGAGAGUCUGAACCAGCCAAGCAGCGUGAAGGAUGAAUGCCCUAUGGGUUGUAAACUUCUUUUACAAGGGCAUAAAACGAGGCACUAGUGCCUUCUUGAAUGUACUCUAUGUAUAAGCAUCGGCUAACUCCGGGCCAGCAGGCGCGGUAAUACGGAGGAUCCGAGCGGUAUCCGGAUUUAUUGGGUUUAAAGGGAGCGUAGGUGGGAGCUUAAGUCAGUUGUGAAAGUUUGUGGCUAAACCGUGAGAGUGCAUUUGAUACUGGGAGUCUUGAGUGCAGUUGAGGCAGGCGGAAUUCGUGGUGUAGCGGUGAAAUGCUUAGAGAUCACGAAGAACCCCGAUUGCGAAGGCAGAUUGCUGAACUGUGACUGACGCUGAGGCGCGAAAGUGUGGGGAUCAAACAGGAUUAGAUACCCGUGUAGUC
rnacentral:rRNA from 1 species